GGGUCAGUAGGUUGGUCGUGCCACCGGUACGUACUGGUCUCACUGAUUCCUCCUUCCUGAAGAACCGUAAUGCCAUUAAUUUGGUGUUGCGGGGAAACAGGACUGCUACUUUGAAAAAAUUAGAGUGUUUAAAGCAAGCUAACGCUUGAAUACAUUAGCAUGGAAUAAUGAAAUAGGACGAUCGAUCCUAUUUUGUUGUUUUCUAGGAUUGACGUA
rnacentral:rRNA from 1 species